rnacentral:rRNA from 1 species
GAUGAACGCUGGCGGCGUGCCUAAUACAUGCAAGUCGAGCGAACAGACGAGGAGCUUGCUCCUCUGACGUUAGCGGCGGACGGGUGAGUAACACGUGGAUAACCUACCUAUAAGACUGGGAUAACUUCGGGAAACCGGAGCUAAUACCGGAUAAUAUAUUGAACCGCAUGGUUCAAUAGUGAAAGACGGUUUUGCUGUCACUUAUAGAUGGAUCAGCGCCGCAUUAGCUAGUUGGUAAGGUAACGGCUUACCAAGGCAACGAUGCGUAGCCGACCUGAGAGGGUGAUCGGCCACACUGGAACUGAGACACGGUCCAGACUCCUACGGGAGGCAGCAGUAGGGAAUCUUCCGCAAUGGGCGAAAGCUUGACGGAGCAACGCCGCGUGAGUGAUGAAGGUCUUCGGAUCGUAAAACUCUGUUAUUAGGGAAGAACAAAUGUGUAAGUAACUAUGCACGUCUUGACGGUACCUAAUCAGAAAGCCACGGCUAACUACGUG